CAUGAAUUUAACCCAUUCCUUGCUUUGAGAGAAAUGGGCUGUACUUCUGGGAUAAUUUUUACAGUUUUCAAUCUAACAGAUAUGUUUCAUGGUGUUUAAUAUCAUUUGGUCAUGCAGUGAGAAGAGAAGACACAAUUUUAAUGCCAGUGAAUUACCAGGGGACUACCUCCGUGAGAACAGAACGGCUGUAAUCUAGAUAAAGAAAAGCAGGCCCAUUUGACAGUCAGAAACAGUGGGAAGGCACAGCUGUCUCCUUCUUAGCUGCCUCAGCUGCAUGUGCUGUAAACUGGAAGAUGUGAAUUCUGUUUACCAUCCUGAUGUGUCUCUGCUGCAGGAAAAUGAAGUUACAAAUUGAAGAGACAACAGGCAAAAGGAGACUGCUUGGUGCCUAGGAUAGGAGGAAGACAUCGAUUUGGGGGUAAAAGUCUUAAAAGCAAGAGUAAUUUACAGUGAGUACUGAUAUGCCGGCAAAGAAGUUUCACUUGAUCUGGAAGAAGAAAAAUAAAAUAUUCACAGAAGGAUGAAAAGAGAGCAUCAUAACCCACUGGCUCUUCAUUUCUUUUUGUUUCUUCAGAUUCCAGAGUAUCCAAAUGCUUAUCAUUAUUAUUAUUACUUGUUUCAUCUACUGUAUGCUCAUCAAACUAAGUUUCUCUGUCACAGCUGGAACAAUCAAGACUUCUUUUGUUGCUUAUAAUAAAUAAAUACUCAAUUGUGAGA